rnacentral:misc_RNA from 1 species
AGAGGAUAUAGUGUGCUGAGUGUCAUGGUUUACUUGGUUUUGCCUUUCUGCUACCUCAAGGGCCAAGUGCUAUGGGAUGCCUACAGAAGAUCCUUAUUGCUUCAUUAUUUUCCUGUGAUUCUGAUGCCAGUGAGUUCUCUUAUCUAUGAUCAAACGUAUCUUUCCUUGUCAGUAGUUCAUGAUAAAUGUAAUUGAAAUUGCAUGCACCAACUGUUCGCUCAC